ACACACAUCCUAACCGAUGCUUGUGCCAACAAGCAAACCCAGCGAACCUAAUCUCCUACCACUUGAGGGGCUGCAUCGCGAGGUGCAGCUGUCGGCGGCCGGGCCCUAGCUUAGGGGGCCGGAGUCCUUGCUGGGCUCACCGUUGCGGGUGAGCUUCGGCCGUUCGACGGGGGCCGCUCUUGGGUCUCGCACACGGGAGAGUGCGAGGGCGGCGUUUCCCCCUCCAGCCGUCCCUUCGGGGGCGGCUGCGCAACCCAACCAAACACCAUGCAACAACCGACUAAAGACCGAUUCUUUGCGGGGGCGCCUUCGGGAGCUUCCGCCUAGGAUCAAAACAAACUAAAGACAACUCUCAACAACGGAUAUCUUGGCUCUCGCAACGAUGAAGAACGCAGCGAAAUGCGAUACGUAGUGUGAAUUGCAGAAUUCCGUGAAUCAUCGAAUCUUUGAACGCAUAUUGCGCCCGCGGCUUCGGCCAAGGGCAUGUCUGCCUGAGCGUCAUUAUAACACCUCACACCCCUUCUUGGGGCGUGGAUCUGGCCGUCCGGGCUCCUAGAGCCUGGUCGGCUGAAAGGCAGAUGCAAAGCCAGCAGCCCAUUCAACGGCAAGGCGUGGUAGACCGCAUCGCGGGCGAUCGUCGUGCCGGGGCUGAUUGCGGCUUUCGCAUUAGCAGGAACCGCCGACUUCCGGACGGACUUCGGCCUGAAGGAGCCGGCCUUGACCCAUUGACCUCAGAUCAGGCAAGA
rnacentral:ncRNA from 1 species